UGAAACAAAGGCCAUUGGAUGUUAAGUUC
rnacentral:piRNA from 1 species